UAACAUCAAUCAACAGUUCCUGUCCACAUUCAUGUGAAUAACUCAUAAUCAUAAUUGUGGUUCUAAAUUCCUCUUCUCAUCCAGGACAAAGAUAAUUUGUAUCACUUGUCUUUACCUGAAACAUCAAAGAUCAUGGUUAUACCAAAUCACAGUUCCUGUUUAUAAUCAUACUAAUAAAUUCAUCUUUGCUCUACGGGCCAAAGAUAUUCAUCAGCAGUUCAUCUUUGCACUACAGGCCAAAGAUAUUCUACAAUAGGUCAUCUUUGCACUACGGGCCAAAGAUAUUCAUCAAUAAUUCAUCUUUGCACUACAGGCCAAAGAUAUUAAUAUCUCAAAGAAAUACAUAAUCAUUUUAGAAUUUAUAUAAACCAUAAU
rnacentral:lncRNA from 1 species